ensembl:lncRNA
GGCGCUGUGACCCCCGCGGCUCUCGGAGCCGCGGCUGCCGGGGGAGAUGCUGGGUCGGGGCGGUCUGUGGGGAGCUCCUGUGGUUGUAGCGUCCGCUGCGGGCUGGGAGAGGACGCGGAGUGAGAGGCGCUCGGUGCCCGUGCGGAGCGGUGUGCGCCCGGUGGGAGUGCCGCGUAGCGCUCAGAUGCCAUCAAUGGCUCCAAAAUCAAGUGACUUUUCCCUCUGGGAGUGGCAGCAUUUCUACGAGCAAUGCCUACUUUGUCUGUAGGUUUUCUGACAAAGCGGAUCGGAUGGAAACUUCCCCAUCUAUCAAACGACCGGAUAAAAAGGGCACGGGAGAGUCCUGAAAGAUUUCUUGCAAGAUUUAUUUUGCUAAACGAGGAUGCAUGUAUGGGAUCCAAGAGCAACGGUGGGAUGGGAGAUGGCACGGAGCGAAGACCCCCAGAUCUCCUUAACCAUGGCUUUAAUAUACUCCUCAAAUUUGGAACAAUGAGGGAAUGAAUUUCUCAGAUGUGCAUGGUUUCUGGUUCUUUCCAAGGAAAUCAUUGAGUAUGCCACCAGGUACAUCCUCACAGAGCUAGAAGAAGCCACUGAAGCGGCUGCUGGCUCCGCCAUCCCCCUCUCUUCUGACUGCAGGACUGCUCCAAUGCUAAUGCUUUGCACGUGGGAUUCAUCUGCCUUGAGCUCUUGAUGUUGAGAGUUAAUCAUUGGACUGCAAACUUGUCACCUACGGCUCUCCAUAUAGUUAAUGGAGAGAAAUAGACACCUCCAGAAGGCAGUGUGUCUCAUCUAUCUUGGAUAUCUGUGGGAAGAUGAAAUGAGCUGCUUCUUGGAGCUACCCAUUUCUCUCACUGGUCUGAAGGGAGCCGAGGGUGCUGGAUCAGAUGGAGGUGAUUAACAUUUAGAUAUGUAUGGCAAAGUGAAAUGAAUCUCACCUCUUUUGAGUAAUUCUCAUUGCCUUGACCUGGUGGUGACUGAAAACCUCUUGAGACCCUUCUGCAUAGCACAUCAAAUCCUAGCUUGGGGCAAACCUGAGCAGCUUUGCAGUUUUCCAGCAAAUGAAAGCACUGCUGAUCAGUCAGGUCAAUCCCCAUGCAGCAGGAUGAUGCUAGUCUGGGAGGAGGCAAAGAAAUGUUGUAAAGCAGAGGUGCCCUUUCUCUGUGGGGUGCUUCCACCUACCUCUACGCUGUGGCUCGGUGCUCAGAAACAAGUGUAUCCAGAUUCACUUUUUCCUGCCCUGAAGAGCCCUGCGAGUAUAUAAAGUGGGGCUACAAGAAAAAAGAAGACACACUUUUUAGCGGGAUCUGUGGUGACAGGACAAGGGGAAAUGGUUCCCCAUUAAAAGAGGGGAAGUUUAGAUUAGAUUAGAUAUAAGGAAGAAGUUUUUUACAGUAAGAGUGGUGAAACACUGGAACAGUUUGCCCAGAGAGGUGGUGGAUGCCUCAUCUCUAGGGACAAUUAAGGUCAGGCUGGACAGGGCUCUACGCAACCUGAUCAAGCUGUGGAUGGCCCUGUUCUUGGCAGGGGAGUUGGACCAGAUGACCUUUGGUUGUCCUUUCCAACUCAAACAAUUCUGUGGUUCCGCGAAACAGUCUGUUUGUCAGCAUGAAUGGGAUUCCAAUGCUCAUUUUAAAGGCUUUCGCAGCUCUCUGAAGCACCUUGUGCUGACUGCAUGUGAGAGAUGCUGUGGGAGGUGGUCCUCUCAAAGCUGCCUCUUCCCCAAGCUCAGGAUGCAGUCUGUUCUCCUAAGGAGACAAUCCCCCCCUUUUUUUUUGUCUUCUAUGUAUAAGUGAUUUACUGUGCUGUCAGUGCCCAGUAAUCUAUUGCUCUGCAACUCCUCGUCACAAGCAAAUUAACGAACCAGCAUCCUCAUUUAAUUUGGAUUAAACUUUGCAGUUAAGAGCUGACAGAAGGCACCAAAAAUACCGGCGUAAUUGCUGUGUAUUUCUAUGUCUGAGCUCCUCAGCAUUACUGUCAGGCUGAUGUUUGCCGUGAGUGGUCCCUGGUUGUGAACAGGGCCCUGAAGUAUAAACAGAUGGGAUUUCUGCAAGAAAACUUGUGAAAUUUCAGGUAACCAACAUGGCUUCAGCAGGGGCAAGUCGUGUCUGACAAACUUGGUGGCCUUUCAUGAUGGAGUUACAGCAUAAGUGGAUAAAGCAAGAGCAACUGAUGUCAUCUACCUGGACUUGUGCAAUUUGAUGCUGUCCCACAUGACAUCCUGGUUGCCAAAUCGGAAAAAAUGGACUUGAUGAAUGGACCACUGGCUGGACAAGGAAUUGGCUGGAUGGCCCCACUCAGAGAGUUGCAAUCAAAGGCUCAGUGUCCAUGUGGAGACCGGCAGUGAGUGGCGUUCCUCAGGGAUCAGUACUGGGACCAGUGUUAUUUAAUACCUUUGUAGGCAACAUGGACAGUGGGAUAGAGCGCCCCCUCAGCAAGUUUGCAGGUGACACCAAGCUGAGUGGUGCAGUUGACACACGAGAGGGAAGGGAUGCCAUCCAGAGGAGGGCCACGAAGGUGAUCAGAGGGCUGGAGCACCACCCUAACAAAGACAGGCUGAGAGAGUUGGGGUUUUUCAGCCUAGAGAAGAGAAGGUUCCAGUGGAACCUUAUAGAGUCUUUCCAGUACCUGAAGGGGGCCUACAGGAAGCUGAGGAGGGACUUUUUACAAGGGCAUGUAGUGACAGGAUGAGGGGAAAUGGUUUUAAACUGGAAGAGGGUAGAUUUAGACCAGAUAUUAGGAAGAAAUUCUUUCCUAUGAGGGUUGUGGGACACUGGAACAGGUUGCCCAGUGAGGCUGUGGAUGCCCCCUCCCAGUAAGCAUGUAAGGACAGCCUGGAUGGGGUUUUGAGCAACCUUGUCUAGAGGAAGGUGUCCCUGCCUAUAGCAGGGGGUUGGAACUAGAUGUUCUUAAAUGACCCUUCCGACCCAAACCAUUCUAUGAUUCUAUGAUUCUAUGAAAAGCACAGCUGCCCUUUUAAAAAAUACUGUCAUAAUAAAAGUUGCUGAAAUUCAAAUCUUGGCCAGACCGUAUUCCUCAGCAAUAAGAAGGUAGCAGUGGGUCACUGGCUUGCUGUCACUUUGCAGUCUUCACUUGUCCCUGUGAUGCACAGCCUGGUGCCAGCAGCACCAUCCGGCCUUGUGUGAGGUGGCCUCCGUGACGGCUUGGUGAUGACAGGGCUUGCCCACAGCAUGAUUCUGCUGAGCCAAGGCAAAGUCUGCUUGCAGCUUGUUCAUUUGCACAGUGGUCAUAAGAAUUCUGUAUCACCUUGCAUACGUGCCCUGCUCUGGGUGCUUCCCUUCCAUCUCUGUCAGCAGUAUGGGUAAAUGCUCAGCAAAUGUCACUCCUACUCCUUUAUUCUCUAUCUGCUGGCUUGCAAGCUUGUUUGUCUUGUAGCAUCCUCCUGGCCUGGGCAGAUCAUUCUUGCACAGGCAUUCCUUUGCUGCUCUCAGCUUGUCUGGGGUCUGCUUGGUUAAUGCUUUGGUUGUGCCUUAGUAUGAUUUAUCCCCGACUGACGCCCCCACCAAGGGAGGUGUUGGCUCAAGCUGUGUUCACUAAGUUACAUCAGAGCUCAAGGUACAGCAGAGCUAUGGGAUCAAGCCCAUCUGCAAUCCUCAUUAAACAGCCCCGUGAAGGAGUCUGGGGUAUGCUUGGAUUUUUACCAAUUUAUGUAUUGUUAUUGAGGAAGGAGAUUUGGUGGACACCUCUCUGAACUCAGUAUAAGCUCCUAAUGCUGAUUGUAAUGUGAUCAAGCACACAACACAGAGCACUCUUGGCAGAGGACUGUAUGCCUCUUAUUUAACUGUCGCCUACACUUAAUUCAUUGAAUUAUAAAAUUAUGCUUUUGGAUUUUGCUAUAAGUAACCAAUGGAUGGAAAUGAAACCUUAAAUUUAGUCCACAAUUAAAUUGAGCAGGACC